AUUUUAUCGAUUCUAUUCUAAUUCUUGUUCAAUUCAAUGGACCAUUCAAAUGUUAAUCAAAAAGUCUAAAGUAUUUUUUACCGGCUCAACCAAAUGUCCGUUAAAAGGUACAGUCGAAGGUUAAAUUUUUAUUCAAUAUCAAGUUUAAAAGUGAAAAAAAGCUUUAUUACAAGAUAAUUGAAGCUAAAUAAAUGUCUACUUUUUCAGCUAUUUUAUCAAUCGUGUGAGAAAGUAGGUUGAUCAAUUGAUGAUGGGAAUUUACUAGAUUGUCCGAUUUAAUUAAUUGUAUCCUCGUGUGAUCUAAGUCAGAGAGCUUUGGUAAUUUUUUUAUAUCCCCUCAUUGCAACUCAGCUGAUGAAAAGCUUUCCCUCUUUUUUCACUCGCGACGCAAUAAGCUUUGUCUUGAGCCUUUAUCAUUGUCUUGUUUUGGUAUUUUUGUUUUUUUUUGUGUUUCAUUCUUGAUCUUGUUUUGUAUUAUUUCAUCUAAUUGUUACCCAUUUAUGUGACUAUCGUGAGAAAUCAACAUUUAAGACUAUUAUUUACAAUUUACGCGUUAAAUCUGCUUCUUUUUUUACUCAAAUCUCGCCUAUUCUUUUUGAAUGAACAUAACUUUUUUUAUACAUUGGUGCUCCUAGUAAAUUUUGGGUUGUUUGGGUUAUUUGUCGUCACUUUUACAUCCACAUGCAUUGGUUUGUAUCAUCAUUAUGUUUGAGACUGUCCUUCAUUUUUGGCUCUUAUCCAUAAUAGGUUGACUCUACAAAUUGCUUUACCUGAAGUAAAACUCAAUCUCGUUUACCUCGAUCUCCCAUUGUUUUUUUUACCUGUGGAUACAUCUGUCGUUAAUAUCAAUGGCGAACAAGUUGUCUCAUCGUUUUAAAGUCAAUUUUUUGCUCUGCUUUCUGGGUUCAAUGCAACAAUCAACUAACUAGGAUUCAAUGAUUCAAGAAAGUCACCGAGUACAUGAUAGAUUACUGGUAAACUUCCGGAUGAUUACUAUUGACUCGUUGAUAUCAAUUUGGAAACACAGGCAAAGAUGAAGAUUGAUUUGGUGUUGCUGAUGAUAAUCAUUACCAUAAUUACCAUAAAGCGAUGUAAAAUGCGAAUGUGAAACACAAUUUGAUUGAUUCAUCAAGAUAAUGUUUAACCAUGUUCAUUGUUUUCAACUGGUCUUCAAUUGAAUUGGUUAAGCUUUAAAUGUUGAUUGUUUCAAUGAUUCAUUUGCUGUUUAUUUUUCAUUCAAGCAUUUGUUGCAUUGGUUGCAAUCGCCUUUACUGAUUAUCUAUGAGAUCCACCAUCCCGGGCCUGGCAUUUCAAAGUAAUAUUGUAAUUCAACGGAAUGAUCAUGGAAGUGACUCGUGUCCAGAGAUUAUCAAUAUUAUCCUUAAAAUCACAAGUUCAGUUGAUUAAAGUUCAAGUUUGAGCUAAGAAAUAAUCGUAAACCUUCUGCACAUUCCUUAACCCAAAGACUAAUGAUGAUUUUGACUUUGAUUUGAUUGAAUCUCGACAGAGAAAAGACAGGAUUUUCCAAGUAAUAACAAUGAUGACUGUGGCGAUUGUGGAGCUAAAAUCUAAUAUCAAAUUGGAUUGGACCCGUCGAUUCAAAGUCAAGACACUUUAAGAUGAGAUUAAAAUUGCGAGAUUUUUUGAUAUCUAUUAAAGAGUACAAUGUUGAUUACCAGCCAAUAUGUUUGCUAACCCAAAAACUGAAUGGUUAUGAAUGGAUAACCAAUGAAGCAGAGAAACCAGAAAAGUUAAACCAUUUCCUCGUUUUAUUAUUAACACAAUUUGCUUGAUUUUACAAUACAUCAAAUAUAUCUUUGACCAGUAUGGUCGAAUCAUCAUAGUGUAA